UCUGAAGUAGUUAAAUGAUGCUAGGAAAGUGGUGAAAAGCAAAGAAUUCCCUAAAACUCAAAAUAUGACACCCUAGAACCUAAAACUAGUUACUAAAAUAGGCUNAAAGUGGUCAUAAUGCAUGAUGUAUUAAAGUAUUGACCAAAACAGUAAAAAAACUAUCUACACAAGUUUUAAAACAUAAAAGAAACUUAAAAAUAAUGGCACAAUUCGAAAAUACAAAGAAAUACAAUAUUUGACUAUUAAGGACCUAAAAUUACACUACUUAAAACCUAAAAAGUGUACUAAAUAGGUGACAAUUUCGAAAUUGACCUAAAAAAACCUAAGAAUGUGUAAUGUUCUUAUCGUAACAAGUUUAAAGAACUUAAAUAAAGCUAAGCAAAAUGUCAAAUUGGAUCAAGUUGGUAAAUCUCAAAAUUUGGCUACUUAAACCUAAAAAGUGUAGUAAAUAGGUGAGAAAAUGGGAAUUGACCUAAAGUAACCUAAGAGUGUGUAUUAUACACAUCCUAACAGGUUUAAAGUUGUUAAAGGAAGCUAAGAAACAUGUCAAAAUAGAUGAAGUAGCUAAAUCUCAAAGUUUGCCCACUUGAAACCUAAAAAAGUAGAUGAAGUAGCUAAAAAUGUNAUGGUUUAAGAAGCAAUUCUGCAUAUAGGCUCAUAUAUGACCAAAUGAACAGUGCUAUCAAGUNUUAAACAUCAUUUUGAACUUGUUCAACCUUUUAAGCAGCACAAAAAGUGCACAAACCGAAAUCACACCUUGCUAUGACCAAUCUUGCAAUAAAACACUAAUUCACACUACCAAAUUGAAGUUUAAAAGAAUCAAGGGCUGUUUCAACAAUAAAACUGACUGAAUGAAGUAAAAAUGAGUGAUUUUAGAUGUAUNUAAACUCUAAAAUGAGUCAAAAACAUAUUAUAGUACACUUUCACUAUUUCACUUCCAAUUUUGACUAAGAAUGUGAUGGUUUAAGAAGGCAAUUUCGAAUAGAACUGUUUGGAACUCAAAUUUAAGAGUCCAAGCAACUUUGAUUGAUGAAUUUGAGUGUGUUCAAGCUUUAAAAUGAAGUAUAAUCUGUUGGCAACUCAAAAUCAUCUUUCCACUUCCAUUUUUACCCAAAAAUUGAUGGUUUAAAAGGCUAAUCUGCAUAUAGGUUCAUUUUUGACCAAAUGAACAGUGCUAGCAACUUNCAAACAUCCAUUUAGACUUGCUAAAGCUUUCCAAAUGCACAGAAACAGCNAGAUUCGAAAAUCACCCUUGCUAUAGCCAAUUUAUGCAUAAAAAACCAUCAAAAUGAAUUACCAAAUUCAGUUUUCUAUGGAGUGAAAGUUGGAUGUGCAGUUUAAACAUUUGUACAAGCAUAUUUUACCAUUUUAAACUUGUCUACACUGUUCAAAUGGUCAUUGUCCAGCCUAUAUGCAGAUUUGCCUUUUUAAACCAUCAAUAUUGUGAUUUAAAGGGAAGUGAAUCAUUCAUUUUGCAUUGUAUUGUGUUUCUGAGUUGUGUAACAGUUUGCACAUCUGUAAAAUCAUUAUUCAAAGUUGUUUCAUCACUCAAUACAGUUGUUGCAUCACUUCCUACCAAAUCUGGGUUUAAAACCACCAAUUUAGAAGCAUUUUUCUAGUGCAAUAUUAAUGAAAAUUUCUGCAUUUUUCGCAAUUGUUAUUGUCAUUUGAUGAAUCUGGAUGUUUCAGUUCUUUCUUCACAUUUAAGUGCCAUUUUCUAAUGUAGUUUGACCAUUUUGGUGCUGUUUUUGGCCAUAACAAACUCAGAUUUCUGUAAUAUGGUCAUGAGCACCUAAUGUAGACUUAUUCUAAGGUAUGUAAACAUCCUUAGAAUUAAAGGGAAAGCAUAAAAAACAGCACCUAAUGUUCAACUCUACACUAAGAAAAGUACUUAGAAUUUGGUGGUUUUGUGACUCAAAUGAUGCAACAGUAACUCUGCAAUAAAUUUGAGCACUUAAGCAACUUUCUUGGAUGAUUUUAAACAUGUUUCAACUUUGAAUUAACACAAAACAAGACUGCUGCUCAAAAUUACCCUUCUACUUCCCAAAAUUGACCCAAAAUGGAUGGUUUAAGAAGUGAUUUUGUGCAGAACUGAUUCUGACACUUUACUAACCCUUCAAACAGUUUUAAAUCAUUAUUUGCUAUUCACUUUACUAACCUAUAACCCAUUAACAACUAUUUGCUAUAGUCUCCUUUUGCAGUGAAUGUCCGUGAUUCAAAUUUCCAAAUUCAUGUCGAGUUAUCCACUUCCUUUUUGAGAGUUUACUCAAAAAUGUUUCUGAGGCUUUUCUUUUUGUCAUACUUAUGAACUCAACUCCAUCAUUCUAUGGAAAAAGUCAUUUUUGUAUUUUAUGUAAUGUCUUUAACACUAAAAAAGUGGGAAAGGUGGUUAUUGUUUACUAAAAGAAGUUCAUAAGCUCCCAAAUUUUUUCAGUAUUC
rnacentral:lncRNA from 1 species